rnacentral:lncRNA from 1 species
GAUCAGAUAUUUUCCACCAUCUUCUCUCUCUCGUUCUUUGAAGAUUAGGGUAUUUUCACCACGAAAAUUCCCUCUUAGCUUCCGCAAAUUUCUCUCUUAACAUGGUAUCAGAGAGGGACAUGAGUUCCUAUCCCCGCUUAACUUCAUUCGAUCGUACUCGUAUAGUUUGCUGUUUACAAUUUUAGGUUAUUGAAACCCUAGCUUUUGAUUUGGGGUUUUUCUUCGACUGAAACGAAAUUCAAUAUCAGCCAUGGUUUUUCGAAGGUAUAAUGACGGUUCGCUGGUGGCGUUCCUCUUAUUUCGACCGGUAUUUCCUCUUCUGCUUCAGAAUUUAAUCUAUUUUGAAGGCCUUGUCUUUUUCGAGUAGUGAAAAAGGACGGUACUUUCUUCUCUAAUCUCUAAUUGCAUGCUUCAAUUUCUGGUAAAUUUCUACUGUAUUUGAGAAUUUUGGAUGCAAAAUGGGUGAUGAACAUGUGAAUUCCUCUAGUCAAUCCGAUGGCUUCACUAUAUUCACUUUAGAUCCCUCACAUCCUCUUUAUAUUCUUCCCUCAGAUAGUCCUGGUACUCACUUAGGGGUCAUUUGACACGAGGUAUAAGAAGGUAUAAGGGUGGUAUAAAAAUUUAAUACCACCUUAAUACUCUGUUUGGUUAGCAAACCAGUUAUAAGUUAUCCCGGUAUUAAUUUUAACAUUGGGAUAAUGUAUACCUUGUAGAAGGUGGGGUAAUUAGCAUCGAUAUAACUUAUACCUUCUUCCUAGAAAUUAUGCAAUUGUCAUUCUUAAUACAACAUACCAAACAAUGAAUAAACAACAAUCCCAGCAUAACUAAUCCCAGCAUAACUUAUCCCAAUAUAACUUAUACCGGCAUAACUUAUACCGGUAUAAAUCGUAUUCCAACUAACCGACCCCUUAGUAUCUCCUCCUUUCGAUGGUACUGGAUUUGUUGCCUAGCGUAAAAGUAUGUUAGUUUCCCUUUCUGCCAAAAAUAAAUUGGCAUUAAUUGAUGGUCGUCAAUCUAAACCUCAUAAUGACUCACCUUAUUACCUCUACUGGGAAAGGUGUAAUGAUAUGGUGGUCGUCUGGUAUGAGAGCUUUGGUCAGUCUAACGGUUCCAAGUUCAUUCAGAUACAAAGGAAAAUUGGAACCAUUUCCCAGGGUACCUUAGACAUAGCCUCUUAUUUCACAAAGUUUUGUAGUCUUUGGGAUGAGCUUCAGACUGCUUAUGUAGGUCCUACAUGUUCAUGUGGUGCUCUACCCAAGUUUCUUGAUGAAAUGAAACUGUAUUGGUUGUUGGCCAGACUGAAUGAGUCAUACAAUACUAUCAAAAGCAACAUCCUCAUGAUUUCACUACUCCCAUCAGUUAGUAAGGCCUAUUCCAUAUUAUAACAUGAUGAGAGACACAGGGAAACAUCUCUAGCUCCAAGCUUCUCCAAUGAUUCUAUCUCUUUCUCUGCAUCCUCCACUCCUUCAACCUAUUCACAAAAUCAUGGUGGGCAAAGAUCUUUCAAUAAGAAGAUCCAAUUUGAGCCAAAGAAACCUGGACAACCCAUGAUGUGUAGAUACUGCAAAAAAUCAGGUCAUACCAUUGAAAAAUGCUAUAAACUUCAUGGGUUUCCUUCUGACUUCAAGUUAACAAAAAACAAGAGAUCAGCCUCCUGUGUUCAAGCUGAGGGUACUACUUCUACCCUAUUGGCUUCAUCUAUGGAAUAAUUUUCACCUGUCAACCAUGGAUUCACUACAGAAUAAUAUCAACAGCUUUUUACCCUCCUGAAGCAAUCACACAUCUCUUCUGGAAUCUCAAGUGAUUCUCACUCUGGAGACAAUCAUGUAUAUGCUCACUUUGUAGGUUUGUUUUGCAGUCCUGUAGUUAAGACUGUGGAUUUCCAUGCUUGUGCAUCUUCACAAUUAAAUGUUAACACUUGGAUUCUAGACUCAAGGGCUACUAAUCACAUGACACCUCACAAAUACCUUCUUCACAAUCUUCAACCAUUAACAAGACCUUACUUAAUCACUUUACCAAAUGGCUAUAAAGUAAAAGUUGUAUCUACUGGAUCUUUACAACUUAUAUUUGAUAUUGUGUUACACAAUAUUCUACUUGUUCCAUCUUUUCUGUUCAACUUAAUUUCAAUAUAUCAACUUCUUUUGCAACUUCAUUGUAUUGCAGUUCUCACUACUUCCCUUUGUGUCACGACCCAAACCGAUGGGCCGCGACGGGCACCCGAUACCUUACUCAAUCGAGUACCAAUAUAACGUAUCAUACUAUCGUAGAUUACUGAGCCGAAAAGCUGCCGCGCGAUAAGUAGAAUACAAUAUAAGAUACCAACUUAUACAUAAGACAUAAGGCCUAUUAGAACAAAUAUCCACUCGUAUACUGAACAUAGGCCAACAAGGCCAUACAAUCUUUUACGUGCAUGACAUCUGUCUACAAGUCUCUAAGAAUAUAUAAUUUUCAUAAAGGUUGGGAAAGAGUCCCGCAAUAAAAUAAUACACGUCUAAAUUAUACUAACCAAACGAAAAACUCCGAAGCAAAUGGAGCGCACCAACAUCUUCCGCUGAGCUGAUAGCCUACUUGGAGGGCUCUCGACCUGUCUAUCGGGACCUGCGAGCAUAAAACGUAGCGUCCCCAGGCAAAUGGGAUGUCAGUACGAAUAAUGUACCGAAUAUGUAAGGUAUAUAAAUAAGUACAUAACAGACAUGGAAGAAAUAUAGAGUAAAUGACUCAACAUGUAAGUCUAGAUAACUCUGUAAAUCAUGAAAUAUUUAUAAGGUCAUGCAUAUAUGUAUAAAUGUCAUGCAAUGCAUAUGUAUGUACGUACAUAACAUCAUCAAGCCUCUGAGGGCAUGCCAUCAUAUCAAUUUGGCCAUUGUGGGCAACAUCAUCGUAUACCAGCUGAUCAGGUGGUGAUGCAUAUAUAACGUCGUAACCUUUUUCCAUAUCCCAUAUACAUAUAUAUACAUAUAUACACGUAUAUAACACCGUCUGAGUCAUGAGUAAAUGCACAUGUAAAUGAAUGCAAUGCAUGAGAAGUACGUUAAUAAAACUUCUCGGAACGUCAUAAGACCAUUAUACCUCUGAUUAAUAUCAUGAAAUAAACUUUUUUCAACUUAUGUAUUUUUAUGAGACCUAUGAACAUAUGAUAAAAUAAUAGGACACGGGGAAAUUCAAGAACAUAGGUGCCUCUAAUACUUCUAUUAAUAGUCAUUAUGAAAAUUGCGCAUUUUCUCGUUUCGUUUAUAUCGUAUGGAUCAUGCCAAAAGAAAGGAGGGAUAACCUUAAAAUACCCGGAGCAGGGAAAAUCCGUAUAAUAUUCUUGGAAAAGGUUGCACCGCACUCCCUUAGAAUCGCAAAAUCUCAUGUUGCUAAUGUGCUAAAAAAUCUCGUUGGAUUUAUUUUGUAGGAAUUCGUUGAAGAUUUCUUAGAAAUCUCUUUGAAGACGUUAGGAAUACUUGUAGGAAUUGUUACUGACCGAUUGUCAGUGUCUUUAAAUUGGAAAGAAAAUUGCUAUUGUUUGAUUGUAGAGUUUUGUAAGGAUUCACGUUGGUAUCCAUCUGAUUGUAAGGUAUUGAAAAUGUUAGAAAUGGGUUAUUAUGUAACUAAGGCAUUAGUUUGCCACGUAAUUAAGAAUGACCAUGAGUCAUUUGUUUGAUUAGAUCUUUGCUGCCACGUGGGGGUGGGGUGGGAAAAGUUAAUCUUUAUCCACUUAUUAGGUAAUUAGGUAACAACCCGUUGCCCGGUAAUUACCAAUUACGCGCAUAAUUUUUAAUUAUCUCAAAUUACUUAAAAUUCUACUUAUUUUUAAUGUACUUUAUACAUCCUACUAUCAUGGUCAUAUGGUACCUUGUAUGGUACUAGUUCAUAAAUAUCCAGUACUAACGCUCGAUCCGAAUUUUAUCCCAACAUGCCAAACUUGGACCGAAAAUUCAUUUUUUUUGACUUGCUUCCCCUCUCACCUUCACGAAUUUACUCAUUGUUUGAAAUAGCAUAAUCCUUAUAAUCUCCAAAUAAUUUUUUUCUUGGACUGAUGUCAAUUACCUUACGACAAAUUCAAUGUACAAUACUACAGGGUGCAACAUCGUCGUAAUUUAAUACUGCAAAGCGUAACAUCAUCGUAAUGUAGUACUGCAAGGCAUAACAUCGUUGUAAUAUAAUACUGAGGGACAUAAUAUUGACGUAAUAUUGCGGGGCAUAACACAUUGCUUCUUACAGGGCCCUUCUCUGUAGAGGCCACUGGGAAUUGGUAAGGUUGAAAAUGGAUUGUAUUAUCUUCAUCUUGAUAGUCCUUUAGUUUCCUCUUUUCCAUUUGAUGUUUCAUGUAAUGUUUCAUCUUCUGUUCCUAUUGUUUCUCCUGUUUUCAAUUCUGUCAAUCCCCUUCCAUUAGUCCCUCAUGUAAUCCAUCUCUUGAUAUUAAUAAGACAGAUUUGUUUUGGCAUCAAAAAAUGGGUCACAUGCCUUUCAAUAAUAUGAAAUCUAUUCCUUUUAUUUCCUCACAAAUUUCUUCUAAACAAUCCUUCCUAUGUCAUAUAUGUCCUAUGGCAAGACAACAAAGGUUGCCAUUCUCUGAUAGCACUACUCAAUCUACUACUCCUUUCUAAUUGAUCCACAUUGAUAUCUAGGGACCUUAUAAUACUGCUACAUAUAGUUAUUUUAGAUACUUCAUUACCUUAGUGGAUGACUACUCCAGGGUAACUUGGACUCACCUAAUUUCUAGCAAAAGUAAUGCCUUGUCUGUACUCAAAGCUUUCACUUUUAUGGUACAGAAUCAUUUCCACACUUCAGUUCAAACCUUCAGAUCUGAUAAUACUUUUGAACUAGGUUCUAGUUUAGAAUCCAGAUCUUUCUUUUCUUCUCAAGGGAUUCUGCACCAGGCCACUAUUCCCCACACACCACAACAGAAUAGUGUUGUGGAAAGGAAACACAAACACCUCUUAGAAACUUCCAGAGCCUUAUUAUUUCAAUCCAACUUGCCUACUAAAUUUUGGGGUGAUUGUGUCCUUACAGCCACUUAUCUCAUCAAUAGGUUUCCCUCUACUGUUCUUAACAACAUAUCCCCCUAUGAGAAACUACAUGGACAUUCACCUUCUUAUAAUCAUCUUUGAUCUUUUGGAUGCCUUUAUUUUGCUACCUCUCCUAAACAUAGUAGAGAUAAAUUUCAGUCUAGAGCAAUCUCUUCCAUUUUCCUUGGCUAUUCUUGUGGGAAGAAAUGAUACAAAUUGCUUAAUAUGUCCUCUCAAUCUAUCUUCUACUCUAGAGAUGUUGUUUUUCAUGAGUAUGUUUUCCCCUUCUCCAUUAAUUCUUCUAAUGCUUCCCGUCCUUCACCUUCCAGCUUUGUUGAUAUUCCUCCAUAUAGUACACCACCUGUUGUUUCUCCUCAUUCUGCAUCUCCACUUGUUUCUCCUCCUAUUCCUCCUUAUUCUACAUCUUCCCCUGUUUCUUUUCCUCCUGCUGUUUCAUCUCCUAUUUCUUCCUCUCCUUCUCCUCCUAGUGAUGUUCCAGCUUCUUUACCACCAUCUUCUGCUGCAUAUACCUCCUAUCUUCCUCCAUCUAUUCCUCCUCUUAGAAAGUCCCUUAGAGUGUCACAUCCACCUCCUCAUCUGGAAGACUAUAUCUGUUCUGCCCCUGUAUCUACUACUUCUAACAUGUCCACCACAGAAUUGCACUUGCAUGAGCCUCAGACUAUCAACAGGCUGCUUCCAAACCUUCUUGGCAGGAGGUCAUGCUAAAGGCGUUUCAAGCAUUAGAGGCUAACAACACCUAGGAUAUUGUACAUCUUCCCUCUAACAAAAAGGCUAUCCCUUUCAAGUGGGUGUAUAAAAUCAAACAGAAAUUUGAUGGUUCUGUUGAGAGGUACAAGGCAAGGUUGGUCAUUAAGGGUGAUACUCAGAAGGAGGGAAUUGCCCCAGUUGUCAAGUUCACUACUAUCAAAUGUCUUCUAUCUCUUGCUAUAAAGAGAAACUGGAUUGUCUAUCAACUUGAUGUUAAUAAUGCCUUCCUCCAUGGUAUUCUACAUGAGGAAGUUUACAUAAAGGUUUCACCUGGGAUACAGGUUUCCCCUACUGAUUCUUCUCCAUUCCCUUUGGUUUGCAAGCUCAAAAAAUCUCUAUAUGGCCUCAAGCAAGCAUCCAGACAAUGGUUUUCUAAAUUGGCUGAGGCUUUGUCUACAAGAGGCUACAUUUCUAGCAUGAAUGACUAUUCCUUGUUCACAAAGUCUACCUCUACUUUCUCUUACAGUCCUAGCUGUGUAUGUUGAUGAUAUUUUACUAGAUGGGGAUGAUGUUGUUGAAUUAGACAGUGUUAAACUAUUCCUUGACCAACAAUUUAAGAUAAAGGAUUUGGGGACAAUCCAUUAUUUCCUUAGUUUGGAAGUCACUAAAUGUCCUGAAGGCUACAUCAUCAGUUAACAGAGGUUCACAAAUGUCCUGCUAGCAGAAUUCCAUUGCCAAAAAAUUUCCCCUGUUGUGACUCCUCUUGAUACUUCUGUCAAGUUAUAUGCUGAUAUGGAUGCCCCCUUGACUGAUCCCAUCACCUAUAGGAGAAUUAUUGGCAAGCUCAACUUUCUCCAACACACAAGGCCGGAUAUAUCUUUUUGUGUUCAACAUCUAAGUCAGUUUCUUCAAGCUCCUCAAGUUUCUCAUAUGCUUGUUGCACUUCAUGUGCUGAGGUAUCUAUCUAAUGCUUCUGCUUUAGGGAUUCUCUCUCUUCCUCUUUUGAUGUUUCUAUCAAGGCCUACUCUGACUUUGACUGAGCUGCCUAUGCUAAGUCAAGAAGGUCUGUUUCUGGUUUUUAUAUUACACUUGGUGGUUCCCCAAUCUCUUGGAAAAGCAAGAAGCAACUCAUUGUUUCAUUGUCCUCUGCUGAAGCUGAAUACAGGGCUCUCAGAAAGGUGGUUGCAGAGGUCUCAUGGUUGGCCAGGGUACUGGGUGAUCUUGGUUUACAUGUUUCUGCUCCUGCUCCCAUCUAUUAUGACAACCUUGUUGCUUUACACAUUGCCAAGAAUCCAGUCUUCCAUGAAAGGACAAAGCAUCUCGAAAUUGAUUGUCACUAUGUGCGUGAGAGUCUUAAUUCUGGGCUGAUAUCUCUGCACUUUGUCCCCAGUUCUGUAACAGAAGUUCACAAAUGUCCUGCUAGCAGAAUUCCAUUGCCAAAAUCAAUUUUAUCAUCUAGGUAUCAUCCAUUUAAGCAUCUAGGUGUCCCUCUGGACAGAAUUUUACUAUGGUGCAAUGGCAAUCCUUGAUUGAGAAAAUAAUAGUAGCAAAAAUCUCCUCUAAAACAGUAAAAAAAAAAAAAAACAUUUGCUGGUAGAUCACUUCAACUGGUGCAAACUAUCUUUUUUGGUAUUCAAUCAUACUGGGCUUAAUUGUGAACACUGCAUGUAUAUGUGCUUUGUCAAAAUAGUACUGAGACCAAAGAUCAGUUAUUUUGAGGAUGUCCUUUUAUCUAACCUACGUACUAUGGAGCACACUUUUGAGAUGGGUGCAGAGAUACAACAAAGUUGGCUUCAUCAACGUCGUUUCCAGUGGAUCAUACAACAGUCUAAAGGGAAGAAAACGAUGGCCAGAUUGCUUAUAUACACUGAAUAUGUGCAUGUAAUAUAGAGACAAAGGAAUUGCUCAAUCUUUGAACAAAUCUCAAAGAGCCGGACAUUAAAUGGUGGAUCCCGAAGAGGCACGAUGGUUUAUUAGAUGCCUAUAUGAUUUUGAAACGGUUCUUUUUCACCUUUUUUUUUUAAUUAAUUAUUAGAGAGCUGUAAUGUAAUCAAGCCUUUAAUUGUUUGGACGAACUGAAAAUCGUGAAGAUUUUUGUUCAUAACACCUGGGUUUCGGAUAAUUUUGAAACGGU